rnacentral:rRNA from 1 species
CUUGGUCAUUUAGAGGAAGUAAAAGUCGUAACAAGGUCUCCGUUGGUGAACCAGCGGAGGGAUCAUUACAGAGUUGCAAAACUCCCUAAACCAUUGUGAACGUUACCUAAACCGUUGCUUCGGCGGGCGGCCCGGGUCCUUCCCGGCGCCCCUCGGCCCUCGCGGGCGCCCGCCGGAGGUAAACCAAACUAUUGCAUUGUAUGGCCUCUCUGAGUCUUCUGUACUGAAUAAGUCAAAACUUUCAACAACGGAUCUCUUGGUUCUGGCAUCGAUGAAGAACGCAGCGAAAUGCGAUAAGUAAUGUGAAUUGCAGAAUUCAGUGAAUCAUCGAAUCUUUGAACGCACAUUGCGCCCGCCAGUAUUCUGGCGGGCAUGCCUGUUCGAGCGUCAUUUCAACCAUCAAGCCCCGGGCUUGUGUUGGGGACCUGCGGCUGCCGCAGGCCCUGAAAUGCAGUGGCGGGCUCGCUGUCACUCCGAGCGUAGUAGUUACAUCUCGCUCUGGGCGUGCUGCGGGUUCCGGCCGUUAAAAGCCUUAUUUACCCAAGGUUGACCUCGGAUCAGGUAGGUUGCCCGCUGAACUUAAGCAUAUCAAUAAGCGGAGGA